ensembl:lncRNA
GACCAACCAUGCAACACUGAGCCACUCUGACCUUUUUCAGAGAAAGACUUUGAGAUUGAUGCCGUCCGGGCCUUCGAGGAGACAUGUUCGCUCAGCAGAAAUCCAACAGGAUGUGUUACGGCAGGAUUGCAGAUUACUAAAGUUGUUUAAUCACGGAUUGAUAAGAACAAUAGUCUCCCGGGAGACCAGACUAGUGCGCAUUUAGCUCCCAGACAUGCAACCUCCCAAGAUCAUUCUUUGUCAUUGUGUUUGCUUAUGGCCCUGCUGUUUCUUAAACAUACAAAGAUCACUCACGCCUACGCACAUAGGAACACACACAGAAACACACGGUGCCCGAACUUGAUGGAAGAAUUCAAAAGCCUUUGAGUUGACCCUCUACCUGCCACCCUCUAACCCUCAGCUCAAAACAUACAACUCUUUUCUUUCCUCUGAGUUUCUUGUUCAAAGUUAUGGCAAGGGGAGAUUAAAUUCACACAGAAACCCCACCCAGCCCUCCCCUCCCUCCUUCCCAGGGACUCAGUAUUUCAACACAGGCCGGGAGGCUGGGCGUAUGUGUGAGUGAGAGCCCCACCCCGCAGCUGUGCACCUGGAACUGCUCCCAUUCCAGCAUGGCAGUGAACCCACAUACCUGUUCACACCUGAGGCCCGCGCCUCUGGACCGCCACCUCCGUGGCUGCUUUUGUUUCAUCCAUCAACCCUGACACCAGACUGACACGAGUCGAGAGAGGCAGGUGGUUGGAGAAAAAUUCUAAAAAGGUGUCGGGACAACCCGUGUCUCAAAAUAAUGUCAGGUGACGCACAGUUAAGUCAGUACCCAAUGCAACAAGUGAGCGGGACGAAUGGAGGAGAAUUCAGAACGGGACGAACUCAAUCAUCUUUUCUGUGCUUUCACGGGGACGUGUUUCAAACUGAGCAGGAGCAGCAAGAGUCCAAUUCAUUUUUGCUGAUCGGCCUUUGAAGGAGAUUAAACCUAAUUUGUAAAUUUUCAGUUUCUACUGUCUGAUUUCC